AUACGUAGGUGACAAGCGUUAUCCGGAUUUACUGGGCGUAAAGGGCGUGUAGGCGGUCUUGCAAGUCAGAAGUGAAAUUCCUGAGCUCAACUCGGGCGCUGCUUCUGAAACUGCAGGACUUGAGUGCUGGAGGGGAUAGCGGAAUUCCUAGUGGAGCGGUAAAAUGCGCAGAUAUUAGGAAGAACACCGGUGGCGAAGGCGGCUAUCUGGACAGUAACUGACGCUGAGGCGCGAAAGCGUGGGGAGCAAACAGGAUUAGAUCCCCUGGUAGUCCACGCCGUAAACGAUGAAUACUAGGUGUAGGGGGUAUCGACUCCCUCUGUGCCGCAGUUAACACGAUAAGUAUUCCGCCUGGGGAGUACGGCCGCAAGGUUGAAACUCAAAUGAAUUGGCGGGG
rnacentral:rRNA from 1 species